AUAUUAGAUACUUCGAUUUUCCGGUCGCGCGAGAUUUUUUUUGGUUACCGGAACCGGUAGUAUUCGUGCGGCAGUAUUUAAGCCGAAAGCAGUGGUGAUUUCGUUCCAGUCUGGUUUUGUCUUCAAAAUCAGACACAAAAGGAUAAUCGGAGCCCUUUGUUUGUUCAAGGAUCGGAUAUCAGUUAAUUCUUUGGAUUUAUAUCAGUGCUUUUCUAUCGUCUUCAUGGAGUUCCAGCGUGUUGAGCAUAGGGAUAAUGUGGGCGUGGCAGGCCUUGAUGUCGAUGUUGUUGACAAUAAGUUUCGAAGGCAUAUGACUGAUGUGAAGAACUUUUGCAGGAAGAUUACCCGCAGCUGGCAUCUAGUUGCACCCUACUUGGAUAAAAAAAUUUCUAUCGAUGCUGCUGGCAAAAAGACACUUAUCCAAGUCCCAAGACAGCACUGAACGACCUAGUAUGGUGAAGAAGUUGCGACCUGAAGGUGAUGUUGAGGCUACUGAAAGGCCAGGUAACACAGAACAACACUGUGCUUGUUGUUGCAGAAAAGCGGUUAGUCUUUUAAGGUAAUAACUUUUACAUUUUCUUUUGUAAAUUCAUUUUUAUAGUUUCAAAACAAUUCCUUUUUAGGUGUCUCAACCCUUUUGACAUUUAUUAUAUUUAUUAACAGGGCUUUUUGGCAAGAUGUUGACUGGACCAUGGAUGACACUAAUCUACAAAAUGAAAGAUGAAACAUUUUAAAGAUACCAUUUAUGCAGCUAUUAUAUUUAUUCUCUUGUUUUCUAGAUCUCUCAUGUGAAGGUCUGCAUUGACAAACUAAAGCCACUAAAGGCCAUUGUGGAUUCUCCAGAGAAUCUCCUUUCAAUACUAACUGAUUGCUUUGGCCAGACUCUGGAUACUGAAGAUCUCGUUCUGAAAACCCUGAGAAAUGUGACUGUUGAUGAAGUAUUUAUCGAGAUCACUAAAGAACUUGCUGAAGGUUUUUGUAAGCAAAACAGAUAGGGUACACCCAAACAAUGUUCAUCUUCAAACAAUCAUGCAUGAUCCUCGCAAGCUUUGGAUACUGACGUACAUUUGCAAACGCACUCAGACUGAUGACAUCAAGAAAUCUAUAUUUGUUAUUUACAUUAUAU